UGUAACAGCAACUCCAUGUGGGAGGGGUCCGUGGUCCCCGUGGGGCUGCUGUUAUUCU
rnacentral:pre_miRNA from 1 species